rnacentral:tRNA from 1 species
GCCUAGUUAGCUUAGCUGGUAGUGCGUCUGCCUUGUAAGCGCUAGGCCGCGGGUUCGAUUCCCGCCCGGGGUG